UCCCUGGUGGUCCAGUGGUUAGGACUCCAUGCUUCCACUGCUGGGAGUCCAGGUUUGAUCCCUGGUCGGGGAA
rfam:TPA: Bos taurus chromosome 13, whole genome shotgun sequence.